GUUGCUGUGGGUCAUUCAGAGGCUGUGGCAGGUGCUGGAAAUAUUCCCAACCCCUCUGCUGCUGUCCUUGCAAUGGUUGACUGAGUGCUGCAUCCUCCUUUCACCAAGAGUGUUUUCUGCCUUGUGACUUCAUUGGUGUUGUGAUCCAUUUCACUAUAAUCUCAAAGGACAAUGUAGGGGA